GUCAUCAUUUGUGCUUGGAUUAUAACAAAGCUUAAAGCUAUUUGCCCAUUACUUACAGAAGGCAGAAAACACCUCAAGGUAUACUCAAAACAGAACUUCAUGGCCAACUCUGCCUGGAGCAACUUUUGUCAGAGCAGCUGGAAUUGUUUUAAUUGUAGUUCCUAUAAUCAUCAUUGUAAUUGACUACUGCCUCUUCUGCAGAGAAGAAAAACAUGAUGGCCAUUCAAAUACCUAAAAAAAAAAAGCCCAGAAAAACUAUCAUUAUUCAUGGACUGCGAUUGACUUUGCACCUUCUGCUACUUCUGAUAACAGCUGUUGGAAGACACCAUGAAAGCACUAUUUUUCAGCCCUUCUUACUUUUUUAUUUGCACUAUGUUUUAACCCUGUGGUUUAUGGUCAGUGAAACAUAAGAGCUGCAAACCAAGCUAUUCAAGAGGCGAAGACUUGGUGCAAUUACUCACCACGUGGCAAACAUUAAUGACACAGCAGCUAUUUAGUUUGCUGAGUUAGGUGAGUGAUCUCACAUGUAAAAUUCUAACUUUCCACUUUCUAAGAAAUUAUCAUCAUCAGGACUGUAAUAUAAAGAAGAAAGCCUUGGAUAGUCCUGCACAAAGUGUUUUUAUGACACUGACUGGAACUUAAGGGAAGUUGAACUGCUUCAUUUCUUUAACAAUUUUCAUAUUCUUGUCAUUAUGACCCUACUACUAUGAAGCUGGCUUUGAAACAAAGUCAAGCAGAAGACAGAGUAUGACUUGGCAUGUGAGAAUGCUGCAGGUUUGCCAAAUGAAAUCUAAAACAGGAUUUAUUUUAAAAGAAAUGAAAACCUACUUUCACUGGCAGUAAAAAUUAUGAUUACAAAGAAUACGAUGGAAUCUAUCUGAAGAUUUGUCUCCGAGUAAACCAAUAUAACCAGUGAGAAAUUCUUGAUACUUAUGAAUGAUCAUGCAAAGGUCCAGCGAGAGUUUCAAAGUAAACGAACAAGUGGAAGAAAUUUACCUGCGGUACAUCCACAGCAACACUACUUCCUUGCCGGAUUUUAUGUGACUCAAUGAAGCCUCUUUCCAUGUCAAAUCUUUGAGUCUGUUACUCUCUAAAAGAAAAGUUUGUUCCUU